AAAGAAGACCCUGUUGAGCUUGACUCUAGUCUGACUUUGUGAAGAGACAUGAGAGGUGUAGCAUAAGUGGGAGUUUUGGGACUCCUCUUGAUUACAGUUUCGGCUGUAGUUGAGAACCCUUAACGAUCAUGAAAUACCACUACUCUCAUCGUUUCUUUACUUACACGGUGAAAAGGAAAUUGGGAUAGUGUCUCUCUCUUCUGAACUUCGGUUCAGUAGCAGGAGGCCACCUAUCUCUAAAUUCUAGAGCAAAAUGUGGUUCCAUCCAUAUAUGCUCAAGACACCUAAUUGAAUCAUGUUCUCUUUGGGACUUGAUUUGAUUAAAGACUUGGGUUUGGUUGGUAGCCAAUGUAUAUCAGCAAUGACAUACAUAACCGCAUGAUCCUCGCCGUGGACAUUGUCAGGCGGGCAGUUUGACUGGGGCGGUACAUCUGUCAAAAGGUAACGCAGGUGUCCUAAGGCCAGCUCAGUGAGGCCAGAAACCUCACGUAGAGCAAAAGGGCAAAAGCUGGCUUGAUCCAGACUUUCAGUACGAAUACGGACCGCGAAAGCGGGGCCUAUCGAUCCUUUCGAUGAAUGAGAGUUUCAUCCGAGAGGUGUCAGAAAAGUUACCACAGGGAUAACUGGCUUGUGGCAGCCAAGCGUUCAUAGCGACGUUGCUUUUUGAUCCUUCGAUGUCG
rnacentral:rRNA from 1 species